GGGGGGGGGGGGCGGGGGGCGUGGCGGGGGGGGGGCGGGGGGGGGGGGGGGCGGGCACCAUGGCCACCAUGGCGGACGGGUGGGUAACGGGUACGGGGCUUACCUGCCGGACGGGGCUACCAGGGGGAAACGCCCGCCAAUACCGGCCAAUGUCAUGGAGCAGCACGGCCUUCUGAGGGCAGGGGACGCCUGCGGAGCGCCUUGCCUCCUCUUAGCUAGUUGGUGAGGUAAUGGCUCACCAAGGCGAAGACAGGUAGCCGGCCUGAGGGGGUGGACGGCCACAAGGGGACUGAGAUACGGCCCUUACUCCUACGGGAGGCAGCAGUGGGGAAUAUUGGACAAUGGGGGCAACCCUGAUCCAGCAAUUCUGUGUGCACGAAGAAGGUUUUCGGAUUGUAAAGUGCUUUCAGCAGGGAAGAAGUAAGUGACGGUACCUGCAGAAGAAGCGACGGCUAAAUACGUG
rnacentral:rRNA from 1 species